rnacentral:rRNA from 1 species
CCUACGGGUGGCAGCAGUGAGGAAUAUUGGUCAAUGGUCGAGAGCCUGAACCAGCCAAGUAGCGUGAAGGAUGACUGCCCUAUGGGUUGUAAACUUCUUUUAUAAGGGGAUAAAACGAGGCACGUGUGCCGUAUUGCAUGUACCUUAUGAAUAAGGAUCGGCGAACUCCGUGCCAGCAGCCGCGGUAAUACGGAGGUUCCGAGCGUUAUCCGGAUUUAUUGGGUUGAAAGGGAGCGUAGCUGGCAUGUUAAGUGGGUGGUGAAAGUUCGGGGCUCAACCAUGGAAGUGCAAUGGAUACUGGCAGUCUUGAGUACGCGUGAGGUAGGCGGAAUUCGUGGUGUAGCGGUGAAAUGCUUAGAUAUCACGAAGAACUCCGAUGGCGAAGGCAGCUUACUGAACGGUGACUGACGGUGAUGCUCGAAAGCGUGGGUAUCAAACAGGAUUAGAUACCCUAGUAGUC